GACAGAGGUCCCGAGCGUUAGGCGGAAUCACUGGGCUUAAAGCGUGUGUAGGCGGCGGCCUAAGUACCUUGUGAAAUCCCCACGGCUCACCCGUGGAACUGCUCGGUAUACUGGGUCGCUUGAGCCACUUAGGGGCUACCGGAACAAAUGGUGGAGCGGUGAAAUGCGUAGAUAUCAUUUGGAACGCCAAUGGUGAAAACAGGUAGCUGGGAGUGUGCUGACGCUGAGACACGAAAGCCAGGGGAGCAAACGGG
rnacentral:rRNA from 1 species